rnacentral:tRNA from 1 species
GGUGAGAUGGCCGAGCGGUCUAAGGCGCCAGACUAAGGUUUGUCAUCCAAAUCAGAUGCUUACGUAAUAAUCUGGUCCGUUAAGGGCGUGGGUUCGAAUCCCACUCUCAUCA